rnacentral:rRNA from 1 species
GGUAGGUACAGAGGGUUGCUACACAGCGAUGUGAUGCUAAUCUCAAAAAGCCUAUCGUAGUCCGGAUUGGAGUCUGCAACUCGACUCCAUGAAGUCGGAAUCGCUAGUAAUCGCAGAUCAGAAUGCUGCGGUGAAUACGUUCCCGGGCCUUGUACACACCGCCCGUCACACCAUGGGAGUCUAUUGCACCAGAAGUAGGUAGCCUAACGAAAGAGGGCGCUUACCACGGUGU